ensembl:lncRNA
UCGCUGUCAAGCCACCUCAGGUUUGGUGGGGCUUGCCCAUGGUCUUUAUAGCCUCUGCUCACACCCAUGCCAGGUGUACAAGCUAGACAACUCCUGACUGUGUUGAGAGGGUCUGUCUGACAUGAAUAGUUACAAUCUUUCAGCUUUUCUGAAAGAGGAAACUCUGUCCCUCCAUGUCUGCUGAACUUGUUUACACCUCCCAAGGUCUUUUGCUAGUCAGGGCAAGGAUGGCUUUAUUUUCUACAGAUUAAAGGAACGGGUGAGGUACCUGGGAAGCUAAGGGACCUGGGCAAAUUAAUAGAGGGGGCUUGCAGAGUAUACGGAAACAGGGAUUGUAAGGAAAGAAAGAAAUUGGGAAGAACAGUAGCAGUUGCACUAGAGCAGGAUGAUGUAGAAGCCAAUACUGUCAACCCAGCAUCUUUCCUUAGCGAAACUCCUGGAGAACCAGUAGGAACCCUUAGGAGAUGCAGAAGACACCUGGUUUUUGUGUUUUAAAUCAGGACACAUUAUGCCUGUUGUGUUUUCCAUACAUUGCUUAACAAAGUCACCAUCGGGAAAUGGUUUGGAUUUUCCUGCCGUCAGAUUUGCUAUCACAUAACUAGCUUCUAUAACAGAGCCCAUUUGACUUUUGAAAAUUACUCUGUUGAGGUUAAAGACAUUCUAGUCUUUACAGUUCCACUGAUUUGUCUCCAUGAAGCAUUUCUUGGUAUGCAUUGAACUUGGCAGCCUGGAGAAGGAUCCGGGGAGACCUAAGAGCGGCCUUCAGUAGCUCAAGAGGGGCUGCAAGAAAGAAGGGGACAGAGUCUUUAGGUUGGACAUAAGGAAGAAGUCUGUUACGAUAAGGGUGGCACUGGAACAGAGACACUGAGGGACCGUGGGGCUCUCGGGAGCCCUGAGCACUGGGCGUCAGAGCCUGGGGAUGGAUGCCAUAGAGGGCACCAUCCCUGUCCCGUUCCAGGGGGACCGCUGCCACCCCCAGACCUUCCCUUGUGCUUUGUGGGGCUGCGCAGAGGAGGUCUCGAGGUGUCCUAGGGAUGGCCCAGGGUCACUGUGCAGAUGGGAUAGGGGCUGUGGCUGCUGUCCCCAAGGAACACACACCCUGCCCUGGGCUGCUGCCAGCCCUUCUCCUGCCCGCAAUCCUGGGGCACAAACCCUGCAGGGACAAGGCUUCUCCGUGGUCAGUGACACCUUUUCACAUCCUCUGCUGACCAGUGGGGUCCUCUGAAGACCAAUGAAGAUGUUGAUGAUCACCGACAUCCUCCAAGGACCAAUAAAGCCCUCAGCAAAGCCACACUCUGUGUGUCUGCAUCCUUGUCCCCAAGCUCAGCAGGGACCCCUCCCAUCUGUCCCUGCCUGGCAGAGGCCACCCAUAAGUGCUGGGAGGGGUCCCCAGCUCCAUGCCCUGCACCCGUGGGACUCUAUCCCCUCUCCACUGCCUGCUCCAAAAUCCCUAAAGGACGAAGCUCCCCGUGCUGCCAAGCAGCCCCAGUACCCUCCCUCUGCUCUCUCCCAGUUCCUCCUUCCAGUUCCUCCCAAACCCUUCACCCUUUGUUCCACCUUCUCCAUGGCCACGAUGUCUCCAGGUCGCUCUCCUUUUACCCCUCCCUUAUCGCAGCCAACUGUCCCGCACUUGGAUCUGCUUCAGCCCUCUUCCUUCAGUCCCGGUUCCCCUCCACCAUUACCCAACAUGCAGUCCCCAGAUCCCCUCCCUUAGGCACCUCAAAUCUCCUCUCUGAUGACCGAUGACACCCUCUGUUGAUUAAUGAAGCCCUCUGAUGGUCAGGGAAGAUCUCUCAUGAUCAGUGGAGCCCUCUGACAGCCAACAAAGCCUUCUGAUGACCACUGACACGCUCUGAUGGCCAGCAGCGAUGCCGACCUGCUCCUCAUGGAGGUGCUGCUGCCCGGGCACUCAGACUCUGCAUGAGGUGGGCUGCACUGGAAGGACACUGAGUCACAAUCCAGGCUAGCGACUGCGAUGGCUGGUGGGCUCAGGUCAGCAUCUUCAGCAGAGCCAGGAGACAUGGGGGCAGGAACGCAGAUGAGCGCCUUAUCCCCAUUGUUGUUCCUUAUCCCCAUUGUUGUUGUCAUCAGAACUGCAGCGAUUCGUGCUUCCUGACAGCUCUGCACUGAAGGACGUGCACAGCGCACCACUACUGGGCCUGGGUCUUCUGGGUCGAAACCGGUUAGAUUCACCUAGGAACGAGCAGAUGCACAGGGGUGAGCGUCAAACUGUCACUGUCCAAGGAGGCAAUGCCUUGGUGUUGUUUUUCAAGCAGGCUUCAAGCAGCAUGCAAGAUGCUCACCGUAUGGAGUUAGCAAUAGCUGUUAAUUAAGUGCCCUCAAAUCAUUUUCCUUCCCAAGGCUGCCUUUUUCCCCUUAGAAGAGAAAGGAGGAGAUGGCAAGGAAUGAAAGGCAGGUGAGGUCAGCUGUACAAAGUCCUUCAAAGGAAAACCAAGCUCUGAAGAGCACUGCCCUGAUACCACUGCCUGACACAGAUGGAGAAGCUGCUUCAUUACCAAGACCAGCUUUUACUGCGGGGAUGGCAGGCAUCUGUGCUGUUGCUUAUCUGCAGUCAGGAAUGUCAGACUGCCUUUUUUUAAACCCGCAGUGACUCCUUCACAAAAGAGUAUCAGUUUUUGAUACUCGUUCUGCAAACUGGGCAAGAGUAACCUACAAAAUGCUAACUGCUGCAGAGGACAGCUUGGAAGACAGCUGCUCCACACGCCCACCGUGCCACAGCAGCUCCUUGCUGCGUGUGCCUGGGAUAACUGGUUAGCUCCUGACAGCAAU